AUUGAACGCUGGCGGCAGGCCUAACACAUGCAAGUCGAACGAGUGGCGUACGUGUGAGUAAUGUCUGGGACACUUACUGAUGGAGGGGGAUCACUACUGGACACGGUCACUACUCCCGCAUACCAUCGUAUGUGCCGAUAUGGGAUUAGCUAGUAGGUGGGGCAAAGGCGCACCUAGGCGACGAUCCAUAGCUGGUCUGUGAGGAUGAACAGCCACACGGGAACUGAGACACGGUCCAGACGCCUACGGGAGGCAGCAGUGGGGAAUAUUGCACAAUGGGCGAAAGCCUGAUGCAGCCAUGCCGCGUGUAUGAAGAAGGCCUUCGGGUUGUAAAGUACUUUCAGCGGGGAGGCGUUACCCGCAGAAGAAGCACCGGCUAACUCCGUGCCAGCAGCCGCGGUAAUAC
rnacentral:rRNA from 1 species